UACGUAGGGGGCAAGCGUUGUCCGGAUUCAUUGGGCGUAAAGAGCGUGUAGGCGGCCAGGUAGGUCGGUUGUGAAAACUGGAGGCUCAACCUUCAGAGGUCGACCGAAACCAUCUGGCUAGAGUCCGGGAAGAGGAGAGUGGAAAUUCCUGGUGUAGCGGUGGAAUGCGCAGAUAUCAGGAGGAACACCGGUGGCGAAGGCGGGUCUCUGGGCAGUGAAC
rnacentral:rRNA from 1 species